rnacentral:rRNA from 1 species
UGGGGAAUAUUGCACAAUGGGCGCAAGCCUGAUGCAGCAACGCCGCGUGAAGGAAGACGGUUUUCGGAUUGUAAACUUCUGUUCUUAGUGAAGAAGAAUGACGUAGCUAGGGAGCAAGCCACGGCUAACUACGUGCCAGCAGCCGCGGUAAUACGUAGGUGGCAAGCGUUGUCCGGAAUUACUGGGUGUAAAGGGAGCGCAGGCGGGAGCAAAGUCAGUUGUGAAAUCCAUGGGCUUAACCCGUGAACUGCAGUUGAAAACUGUUCUUCUUGAGUGAAGUAGAGGUUGGCGGAAUUCCGAGUGUAGCGGUGAAAUGCGUAGAUAUUCGGAGGAACACCGGUGGCGAAGGCGGCCAACUGGGCUUUUACUGACGCUGAGGCUCGAAAAGUGUGGGGAGCAAACAGGAUUAGAUACC